CUACGGGUCGCACCAGUGGGGAAUAUUGCACAAUGGGCGCAAGCCUGAUGCAGCCAUGCCGCGUGUAUGAAGAAGGCCUUCGGGUUGUAAAGUACUUUCAGCGGGGAGGAAGGGAGUAAAGUUAAUACCUUUGCUCAUUGACGUUACCCGCAGAAGAAGCACCGGCUAACUCCGUGCCAGCAGCCGCGGUAAUACGGAGGGUGCAAGCGUUAAUCGGAAUUACUGGGCGUAAAGCGCACGCAGGCGGUUUGUUAAGUCAGAUGUGAAAUCCCCGGGCUCAACCUGGGAACUGCAUCUGAUACUGGCAAGCUUGAGUCUCGUAGAGGGGGGUGGAAUUCCAGGUGUAGCGGUGAAAUGCGUAGAGAUCUGGAGGAAUACCGGUGGCGAAGGCGGCCCCCUGGACGAAGACUGACGCUCAGGUGCGAAAGCGUGGGGAGCAAACAGGAUUAGAUACCCCUGUAGUC
rnacentral:rRNA from 1 species